GAUGAACGCUGGCGGCGUGCUUAACACAUACAAGUCGAACGGUAACAGGUUAAGCUGACGAGUGGCGAACGGGUGAGACAUAUAUCGGAACGUGCCCAGUCGUGGGGGAUAACGUAGCGAAAGCUACGCUAAUACCGCAUACGAUCAACGGAUGAAAGCGGGGGAUGGCAAGACCUCGCGCGAUUGGAGCGGCCGAUAUCAGAUUAGGUUGUUGGCGAGGUAAAAGCUCACCAAGCCUGCGAACUGUAGCUGGUCUGAGAGGACGACCAGCCACACUGGAACUGAGACACGGUCCAGACUCCUACGGGAGGCAGCAGUGGGGAAUUUUGGACAAUGGACGCAAGUCUGAUCCAACAAUGCCGCGUGCAGGACGAAGGCGUUCGGGUUGUAAACUGCUUUUGUACGGAACGAAACGGUGAGCUCUAAUACAGUUUGCUAAUGACGGUACCGUAAGAAUAAGCACCGGCUAACUACGUGCCAGCCGCCGCAGUAACAC
rnacentral:rRNA from 1 species